rnacentral:rRNA from 1 species
CCUACGGGGGGCUGCAGUGGGGAAUAUUGCACAAUGGGCGCAAGCCUGAUGCAGCCAUGCCGCGUGUGUGAAGAAGGCCUUCGGGUUGUAAAGCACUUUCAGCGGGGAGGAAGGCGGUGAGGUUAAUAACCUCAUCGAUUGACGUUACCCGCAGAAGAAGCACCGGCUAACUCCGUGCCAGCAGCCGCGGUAAUACGGAGGGUGCAAGCGUUAAUCGGAAUUACUGGGCGUAAAGCGCACGCAGGCGGUCUGUCAAGUCGGAUGUGAAAUCCCCGGGCUCAACCUGGGAACUGCAUUCGAAACUGGCAGGCUAGAGUCUUGUAGAGGGGGGUAGAAUUCCAGGUGUAGCGGUGAAAUGCGUAGAGAUCUGGAGGAAUGCCGGUGGCGAAGGCGGCCCCUGGACAAAGACUGACGCUCAGGUGCGAAAGCGUGGGGAGCAAACAGGAUUAGAUACCCGGGUAGUC